CUAUCUAUCUAUCUAUAAAUUUCUGUAUAUAAUUGUUACCUAUGGAUCUUUGCUAGUCCCCUGUGAAGUUGUUUAUGUCAGACUAGUCUGACUUGCACAUAAAUAAAUUAAUUUGAUUCUGUUUCUCUGUGUUUAUUCAAAUGCUCUCCUGAAAUAAAGCGUGUUGCUGUGGGGCUGGCAGAGAGGCAGUGAAGGACAGAUGAAGUCAGGUGUUUGUUCUGGUGGGAACAGCAGGUCUCUGUUGCUCCAGCUGUAGCUCUCUUUUAUUUUGGUAUUUUUUCUUCUACCUUCUUUCAGGGAUCUGCUGCUUGCACUGUAAAGCCAUUUGUAAUUGACUGCAGAUUCAAGCCUUGUAUUUCUCUGAAUUUGAAGGAUAUUAGUAAAUAGAUAAGAUGGUACAGAAGAGAGUUGUCAUUGUGUCCUGCCAUGACAGGGGAGCAUCCUAGUGGGAGCAGAGCACUGGAUAUUGUCCAAGGUUUCUGUUGUUUAAAUGUGCUCUGGAAUCCAAGGAAGUGUCCCCAAAGACACAUUUCCCAAACGUGGGUCUCCAUCUGAUGUUCUCCCCUUCUGCACCUUCAGCAGUCACUCAAAGUGUUAUGCUGAAAUGAAUAAUGAAAUAAAAACCAACACACGCAGUAUUUUUUUUUCAAUUCAUACCCUCAAAGUAAAGCUGAAAUGAUGCUGAGGGUCUUUAGAACUCAUUUAAUAACGUGGUGAUUACAUGGCCCCAUUGUUUAAGGAAAAAAUACAGGAGUUAGAGUGUUGGGAAUUUAAAAUAUUUGGAUUAGUUUGUUUUAAAAAGCAAUCUUCUGUGGGAGAAUGGGAAUUGUACCCUACAUCGUAUCCAAGAAACAGGGAGGCUCCUCCAAAGAUUUCAGUGUUCCUCUGAAAUGUUUUUAUGAAAAAUGUCUUUCAGUUUUCAGACUAUUUAUUUUAAUAAGGGUAAAGGUACUAAUGUAGUAAGAGGCAUUAUAGUAAGAGGAACUGUUUGGACGAUUUUGUAGAGAAAGAUUUAUUGAUCCAUAACCUUGUAUUAAUUAGGGAACUGUUUCUAGCCAAAAUGUUGAAUUUCUUGACAUUUUAAUUGAAAGCCAAAUGUGUUUUGAAUUUAUUGUUGUAUUUUGAUUUCUUGAAUUCCCUUGAAAUACUACUUUUAGAGAUUUUUUGGCCUAAUUCCCUUGAUUGCCUUGGCUUUUCCAGCGAUCCCUCCUGUCAUUGUUGGUUCCACUGCCUGGUCGUGUUUUCUCCCCUUGCUGGAGAGAAGAACAGUCACAGGAAGCAUCUCUGGUGGUCAGUGUAAGAUCUCAGCAUAAGUUUUAAAUAGCUGGACAUAAAGUUUGGGACAAAACCUCUGGAUUAACAUGAGAUCCACGGCUGCCUGCGUCAUCAGCCCAGGAAAUGCCUGGCUCAGGUAACAGGUGCUGCUGAGAAACGGGGAUUUUGCAUAUUUGUACAGAUAUAUAUAUCUAUAUAGAUAGAUACGUGUGUGAGUGUGUGUUGGGGGGCUGUUUACAGAAGAGGCCAACUUGUGUGCAGGAGUAAAAGCCCUGUCGUCUUUCCAGGAGGAUGAACAGCUGGGUCUUUCAUCAGAAUAUGUAGUGAUGAGAAUUGGAAUUUUAUCCCUUUGACUCUGGAAAACGCCCCCUGAGUUUCUGAAGGUGUUUCCUUAAGAAACCUGAUCUUCUUGAAGUUAGUGCAGUGCCAGUAAUACUUUACAGUGAAAAUGUAAAAAUCUGUAUUUAUAAAUCCUUUGCUUUAGUUGGAAAAGUAAUCAGUUCUGCAGUGUAUCACAUGCAGAGGGAUAAAGGUCCUACAUGGGAUUGAUGAGGGAAAAAAGGAAAUCUAGUGCCUACGUAGUUUACAGUUUUUUUCUUGUACAGCUGCGUCAAGUUAUGGCAAUAUUCUUUUGGAAGUGCUGUGUAAUUGUAAAAGACAAAGAUCAAAACAAAGCAAUUACUCCUUAAAAGCAAAACCAAAUUAAAUGUGCAGGGAAAGACAUUUUGAAGCCUGUAUUUUGAGCAUUGCACCUUAAACGCAACCUUGAAAACUGCUA